GCACUCGUAGCUCAACUGGAUAGAGCGCUUCCCUCCGAAGGAAGAGGUUACUGGUUCGACCCCAGUCGAGUGCACCA
rnacentral:tRNA from 1 species